UACGUAGGGGGCAAGCGUUGUCCGGAAUCAUUGGGCGUAGAGAGCGUGUAGGCGGCUUGGUAAGUCCGCUGUGAAAGUCCAGGGCUCAACCCUGGAAAGCCGGUGGAAACUGUCAAGCUUGAGUCCGGAAGAGGCGAGUGGAAUUCCUGGUGUAGCGGUGAAAUGCGCAGAUAUCAGGAGGAACACCAAUGGCGAAGGCAGCUCGCUGGGACGGUACUGACGCUGAGACGCGAAAGCGUGGGGAGCAAACAGG
rnacentral:rRNA from 1 species